GUGAAGCAUUGACUCUAGUUGGUGUGGAGUCGUUGUUGAAAUACCACUCUGACCGUAGUGGAUAUCUAACCUUGGCCCAUGAUCUGGGUUGGGGACAGUGCCUGGUGGGUAGUUUAACUGGGGCGGUUGCCUCCCAAAAUGUAACGGAGGCGCCCAAAGGUUCCCUCAGCCUGGUUGGCAAUCAGGUGGUGAGUGUAAGUGCACAAGGGAGCUUGACUGUGAGACAGACAUGUCGAGCAGGGACGAAAGUCGGGACUAGUGAUCCGGCACCUACUUGUGGAUGUGGUGUCGCUCAACGGAUAAAAGGUACCUCGGGGAUAACAGGCUGAUCUUGCCCAAGAGUCCAUAUCGACGGGAUGGUUUGGCACCUCGAUGUCGGCUCGUCGCAUCCUGGGGCUGGAGUCGGUCCCAAGGGUUGGGCUGUUCGCCCAUUAAAGCGG
rnacentral:rRNA from 13 species